UGAUGAGGUUCGGUUUGGGUUCGGACACAUGGGGGCGAUAUGCAUUGGAAGCUUUACAUUUAAAAUAGCUUAUUAUGUAGGGUAGCCAACAGGUCUGCUUCACAUGAUGCAUACGUUUGUUUUUUGAGAAUAAAAUAAAAU